rnacentral:lncRNA from 1 species
UUUGGCUUUGAUAUCAAUCCAUAGAACUGCUCCAAGGUUUAAUUUAGCAUCUAGCUGACCGUAUGAAUCCGGUGGUUUGUGUUCGGUAAAGUACUUUCUUUGAAUAGUUAGUGGUUAUGUUUCUUUAAUCUGCCCAGUUACUACUCUUCAUUCACUCUUGAUGUUUAAUGAAAAUGUAAUCCAGGACCCCCUUUACAGGUUAGACUGAGCAAGUGUUAUUAUUCUGGAUUUGUAAAUCUCUGUUUACCUGCUGUUGAUGUGUAAAGAUAGACGGCAUUGCUUUCCUGUUCACUGUCAACUAGUUCUUUGUCUGGUAAGUUUACGACUUGUAUGUGAAUCAGUAGUCCUUGUUGUCUUUGAGUUGUUUCAGAGUUUGAAAUGGCCUAUGAUCUGUUUUUUUUAAGUUUUUUCUUCUUUUCAUUGCAGUAGAGUGAAGCACUGAGUUGCCUUUUCUUUUUGUCCUGUUUAAAAAUAAUAAAAGCUGAGAUAAAUCCAAAUGACCCGUGUAUUCUUUGUAUAUUUGAUCAUAAAUCUCACACACACACACAGAGUAGACACAGUUGUGUGGAGGCAUGUUGCAAGCCAGGGCUGGAAAUAAAUUCAGAGAAGGAAAUCAUUUGGCACACAAAUUCGGAAAUAUUUAUGCUGAACGUUAUAUAUACAUAUAUGGAAUUUCUAUUUUAUUACUAAGCGUUAAACACAAACAGACGUGUGUCUGCUGAACUUCCUGUGCAUUGGGUGGAGCUCUGUGGAAGUGAAAAGGGUGGUGAUGGCCAGUACAGCACAGUAACGAUUUGAGGAGAGGUGACUGUCUUGGAUAAUUAAAAACGUUUAAUAAGCGCACCAUGAGAGCCUGCUUAUUCCUCUGGAUUUUAUGGGAGCUGGCUUUAGACAUUUCAGCAUCUGAAGAUUUGCAUUACAUCCGAAGGCAGGAGGGUGAAUCGGUGGACAUUGAUUGUGUUGCAGAAGACGGUGAACCCCGGCCAUCGCUUCUGCACCUGAGACGAAGGUUUGCUCCUUCAGAAAGUGUGCUGAACAUCUCUGAAGAAGUCGUGAGAGCAGAUCCAGAGACUGAGGGACGAAUCAGUAUCUCCGGAAAACUGAAUUUACGCACAGUUACUCUGACGCUUUCUCAUUUAAGAGCCACAGACACGGGGCUUUAUGUCUGCGAUUUCUCAGGAGAUCCAUCAAAUCCGCCCUCGGCGAACACAGCUCUCUUUCUGCUGGUAAAAGCGGCAGGUUCGUGCUCCUGUAGGAGGUAUUCUCUGCUCAUCUAUACCAUCACAGUAGGAAUGAGUCUGCUCCUACUCUCGGCCAUCGCUCUCUUUGUGACACAUUAUAAAAAGUCAUAUGCUGAGCCAGAGCGUCAAACCACAGCUCCAAUUUAUGAAGACAUGUCAAGUGUGAAAGGAAACGGAAGCAGUGUAAACGGUCAUUGGAUCCAUCCAUCAGCCCCAGAAACAUCUGCGAUGCUGGAGAACCUCUACAGAUCCCCCAAACAGACAAAUGUGGAACAGCAUCAGGAAAAAGAAUCAUAA